CGCAUCUGUGCAUGCAGCAUAUCAAUAAGCGGAGGAAAAGAAACUAACAAGGAUUCCCCUAGUAACGGCGAGUGAAGCGGGAAGAGCUCAAAUUUGAAAUCUUAAAGGGUUUCCCUUUACGAAUUGUAGUUUAAAGAAGUGUUUUCUGUUGAGGUUUUGGUAAAAGUUCUUUGGAAUAGGACAUCAUAGAGGGUGAGAAUCCCGUAUUUGACCUUUACUUUCAACUUUGUGAUACACUUUCAAAGAGUCGGAUUGUUUGGGAAUGCAGUCCAAAAUGGGUGGUAAAUUUCAUCUAAAGCUAAAUAUUGGCGAGAGACCGAUAGCGAACAAGUACCGUGAGGGAAAGAUGAAAAGAACUUUGAAAAGAGAGUUAAACAGUACGUGAAAUUGUCAAAAGGGAAGCGUUUGACACCAGUGUUGUUUUUCUGAAAAUCAAUUAAAGAACUGUUUAUGCUAAGCUGUUUAGACUUUAUCAGCUAUCUGUUUAGUUUUAGGCUUUUCUUUAAUGCACUUUUCAGUUAACAGGUCAACAUCAAUUUCUUUUGCUGUAAAAAAGCUUGAGGAAGGUGGCUUGAGAUUCGUCUUAAGUGUUUAUAGCCUCUUGCCUAUGCAGUCGGAGAGAUUGAGGUCUGCAGCGUAGAUCCCUUCGGGGCUAAAUGCAUUUGUGCUAAGUUAUAGCAUUUUAUAGACAACUUGUUGACUAUGAUUUGUCUUGUAGCUUACUCGCUUAUGUUAUUUUACCUACGCUUAGGAUGUUGAACGCGCACAGAGUCUC
rnacentral:rRNA from 1 species